ACCAGGCGAUGAGGCUGCGCCAAAGAUAUGCACCCUCAUACAGUAUUCUUGGAGCUGUGCACCGAGAUCUCCUUUCUUCCACCAAAGGAAGCGCAGGUGCCUUGAGAUGCGCACUCUCCAAGGUUAGUCUUCAACACCUGUGACCCUGAGUUGGAUUAGGCAAACAAACCACUCCCAACUCCAGUUUGCCUGAAUGAUGCAAAGCAGCUUCCAAGAGUACUUAUGAGCCACAUUAUUGCACCCAGGAAGCACUUCUGGGUAAGACUGAAUCGUCUUAAAGGUUGGAAUCUACCUCCAUGAAGUUGUUCAUGGUGACUAUCAAGAAACGCAGCAGCCCUGUGGGUGUGCACAUGAGAGAUCAACCAGAGAGGUGCUGCAGUCUAUCAUGUUGGGAGAGCCUGUGUCCCCAGGAGGCAGACACCUUCCAUCCUUCCAUUGUAAAGACCUCCUGACCAGGUAAGGAGCCAUUGUUCCCAGCCGGGACACUGUUUUUGUGCAUACUCUGGGGUUUUGACACAUAUGGAAUCAAUUCUUGGUGCUUUUUUCACAUGUUGCAUUGAAAUUUAACAGAUGAUUUUCUUUAUUCACGUGAUGCUGUUUUGAAGGUCACGACUUCAAUCACUGCACUGAAGAUGUAGUGGAUGCUACGCAAUAAAUAUGCCAGGGUUCCCGCUACAUGUUAUCUUUCAGCACAUAAAACAAUCUCAAGAGAUCUUUAGUGUUACUUACCUUAUAUUAAUCGGAAAUAGGCCCUAGUGAUAGGAUUUCAGUUUUGGGUUUGACUUUGCUAUGCCUCGACUUGCCUGGAGUAUUGUCUUGUUUUUUUUUGCUAUUGGGAAUGCCAGGUUUUUAAUUAUCAUUAACUUGUUGUUAAUGUACAGCCAACCACCCCAUUCUUCCAUUUAUCAUUCCCUUUCUUUUAUUUUUUGGCCAUACUACUUGUCUUUAUGCCCAUCUUCCAUCUUCAGAUUUAAAGACUCCUACCAGAAGGCAGCCAUAUCAUCCUAUAGUUCAUUUGUGAUUAAAACAUGUCCUAGCUUCAUGUGAGAAUUCUCUGAAUCUUUCUAACCAGACUAGUUGGUUAAUCGGGUGCUCCAAGAAUUGCUAUUCCUCUAGUAGCCAAGGUUUACCCACAUUUGAUUCUGAAUUGGUUUUAAUUUGAAUAUUGUUGCUUGUCUUUAGAUGUGAUUUGUGCUCAUCAUUUUUUUCUUUGUAAAGGCACAUUGAACCCUGGCACAUCCAUGCUCCUUUUGUGUAGUGCCAGUACUUGAUCUUCUGGAACCUGCACAAAGUAGGUGAGGUAAAGGAAUCCACAAGAGGGCAGUAGAACAACUUUUUAGCUGGGAGCUCACAAGAGGAUUUAAAAAAAUGAUACCAAAGCACUGAUGGUAUCUUCUUAGCUCAUAUACUCAACAUUCGAAAGAUAAAAUGUGCCAGAAUCUUAUUUAUGUAACAUAAUCUUCUCAAAUCAACCUAAUCUAAUUCAGAGUUCUUAGGUCCUGGAGGUGGACGGCAUGGUGGCGCAGUGGUAGCGCUGCUGCCGCGCAGCUAGGAGACCCGGGUUUGCCUCCCGGGUCCUCCCCAC